GUGUCAGCAGCCGCGGUAAGACGAACCGUGCGAACGUUGUUCGGAUUCACUGGGCUUAAAGGGCGCGUAGGCGGCUCCUCAAGUCGGGGGUGAAAUCCUCUCGCUUAACGAGAGAAUUGCCUCCGAUACUGGGGAGCUGGAGGGGGAUAGGGGUGCGCGGAACUUCCGGUGGAGCGGUGAAAUGCGUAGAUAUCGGAAGGAACGCCGGUGGCGAAAGCGGCGCACUGGAUCCCCACUGACGCUGAGGCGCGAAAGCCAGGGGAGCAAACGGGAUUAGAUACCCGCGUAGUCC
rnacentral:rRNA from 1 species